UGUUCCUACGGGAGGCAGCAGUGGGGAAUAUUGGGCAAUGGGCGCAAGCCUGACUCAGCAACGCCGCGUGAAGGAAGAAGGCUUUCGGGUUGUAAACUUCUUUUAUGAGGGACGAAAGAAAUGACGGUACCUCAUGAAUAAGCCACGGCUAACUACGUGCCAGCAGCCGCGGUAAUACGUAGGGGGCGAGCGUUGUCCGGAAUCACUGGGCGUAAAGGGCGCGUAGGCGGUUUAAUAAGUCAGUGGUGAAGACUGAGGGCUCAACCCUCAGCCUGCCACUGAUACUGUUAGACUUGAGUAUGGAA
rnacentral:rRNA from 1 species